UACGUAGGCAGCGAGCGUUGUUCGGAGUUACUGGGCGUAAAGCGUGCGUAGGCGGCGUCUUAAGUUUGCUGUGAAAUCUCCCGGCUUAACCGGGAGGGUGCGGCGAAUACUGAGAUGCUGGAGUGCCGGAGAGGUAAGCGGAAUUCCUGGUGUAGCGGUGAAAUGCGUAGAUAUCAGGAGGAACACCUGCGGUGUAGACGGCUUACUGGACGGUAACUGACGCUGAGGCACGAAAGCCAGGGGAGCGAACGGG
rnacentral:rRNA from 1 species